UGUUAAACUUCACAUGUGAAAUUUCACAUGUGAAGUUUCACAUGUGUUCACAUGUGAAAAAUCACAUGUUCCAAAUUCACAUGUGAAACUUCACAUGUGAAAUUUCACAUGUGAAGUUUCACAUGUGAAACACAUAAUUUCACAUGUGCUAACAUGC
rnacentral:sRNA from 1 species